AAGUCGUAACAAGGUUUCCGUAGGUGAACCUGCGGAAGGAUCAUUAACGUGCCCUUCGAUGCGGUCCGGCCCCGAGAGAUCGGGGAUCGGCCGCCGCACCGAAACCGGCCCCACCCGUGCUUACCUUGACCACGUUGCCUUGGCGGGCCCCGUCAGGCUUAACAGCCUGGCAGCCGGGGGGCCUAAUGGCCCCUGGACAGUGCCCGCCGAUGGCCCCAACUGAACUCUGAACCGUAGUGAUUGAAUGUCUGAGUCCAAUUGAAGAAAUAAGCAAAACUUUCAACAACGGAUCUCUUGGUUCCG
rnacentral:misc_RNA from 1 species